rnacentral:rRNA from 1 species
AGAGAGUUAAAGAGUACCUGAAAUUGCUGAAAGGGAAGCGAAGGAAACCAGUGUGUGUGUCAAGUCAUAUUUCUGCUGCCGCUUGCGGUAGUGGCGCUGUGCCUUGACGCUGGUCAGCGUGAGUUGAUUCCGGUUGAUACUUGUCACAAGGAGGGAGCUCCAUUAUGGAGUGUUCAUCUUGUGGCAUCUGUCCUGGGAGAGACUGAGGAAAGCCACGUACGUGUUCGUGGUGCUGUCAAAAUGGUUUUCUUUACCCCGUCUUGAAACACGGACCAAGGAGUCUAACAUAUACGCGAGUUUAGAGGUGGUAAACCUCCGAGCGCAAUGAAAGUAAUAGAGGUUGGACCUUAAUCGGGCACAAUCCGCCGGCCAUAAUCCUUCGGGAGAAAGGUCUGAGUGUGAGCGUAUAUGUUGGGACCCGAAAGAUGGUGAACUAUGCUUGAAUAGGGUGAAGCCAGGGGAAACUCUGGUGGAAGCUCGUAGCGAUUCUGACGUGCAAAUCGAUCGUCAAAUUUGAGUAUAGGGGCGAAAGACUAAUCGAACCAUCUAGUAGCUGGUUCUCUCCGAAAUUUCCCUCAGGAUAGCUGCAAUCGAAUUUCAAUCUUAUCA